UUUUUUAUAAUCCCGAAUAAAAAAGCCGAUCUAAUAUUACAGUUACCGCCGAUGGUGAUCGUCAUUUGAUUACUAUCUCGCUCCUCUCGAUCUCUCUUCCUCUUCUUCUACGUCCGAUUCCGAAGCAUGGACAACCUUCCAUCGACGACACUCCACCGGUAGAUUCUUCAAGGUUUUCUCCCUUGUUCAUUUUUUUCCCGUUUAUUCUUCUCUCUAUUUCGUUUAUUUUUUGAAGAUUUAUUCUGGUGGAUGAUUUGCAAGAAAGGAGUUUCUGAUGUCUUUUAUUAGGGCUGGCCGAAUUGGUCCUUGCUAAAGAUGAAAUGGGAUGUGAAAAUGGGAGUACUGCUCUUCCCUUCUUUUCGGUACCAGCAAAUGAUGGUUUGUUGAUUACCUGAUUUCGAUUGUUAGGAGAAGAAGUAAACAAAAAUGUAAUGACUUAUUAUUUUAACAAUUAAGAAUUUGGGAUAGAGAACAAAAAAAGGCUUAUGAAUUUGAAGACUUAGAUCGAUCAUGGGGCUUCUCUUGGCGCACAUGAUCGAUCGCAAUUCAUUAUAGAGAUUUAGUCAAUUAAUCUUCGUCAACGUACAAUAUCAUUAUAAAAAAUAAUGGUGCACAUCCAUAUGUUAUAUAUACAUAUAUAUUUUUUGUAAAAAUUAAUAUCUGAGGUCACUUAUGAUGACGAACAUCAAAACUUAAUUAUAUUAUUAAGAUAUAAUUAGGGGUAGUUAAG
rnacentral:lncRNA from 1 species